CCUACGGGGGGCAGCAGUGGGGAAUAUUGCGCAAUGGGCGAAAGCCUGACGCAGCGACGCCGCGUGAGGGAUGAAGGCUUUCGGGUUGUAAACUUCUUUUCUCAGGGACGAAGCAAGUGACGGUACCUGAGGAAUAAGCCACGGCUAACUACGUGCCAGCAGCCGCGGUAAUACGUAGGUGGCAAGCGUUAUCCGGAUUUAUUGGGUGUAAAGGGCGUGUAGGCGGGGAGGUAAGUCAGAUGUGAAAACCACGGGCUCAACCUGUGGCCUGCAUGUGAUACUGUGUUUCUUGAGUACUGGAGAGGUAGACGGAAUUCGUGGUGUAGCGGUGAAAUGCGUAGAUAUUAGGAGGAACACCAGUGGCGAAGGCGGUCUGCUGGACAGCAACUGACGCUGAGGCGCGAAAGCGUGGGGAGCAAACAGGAUUAGAUACCCUAGUAGUC
rnacentral:rRNA from 1 species